UACGGAGGGGCUAGCGUUGUUCGGAAUUACUGGGCGUAAAGCGUGCGUAGGUGGUUCGUUAAGUCUGAUGUGAAAGCCCUGGGCUCAACCUGGGAAUGGCAUUGGAUACUGGGCGCCUAGAGUGCGGUAGAGGGGUGUGGAAUUCCCGGUGUAGCAGUGAAAUUCGUAGAUAUUGGGAAGGAACGCCGGUGGCGAAAGCGACGUGCUGGACCUCUUCUGACGCGUGAGGCGCGAAAGCCCAGGGGAGGCAAACGGG
rnacentral:rRNA from 1 species